CCCUUAGAUGUUCUGGGCCGCACGCGUGCUACACUGAGUGGAUCAGCGGGUCAGGUUGCGCGAAAGCGUUUCCUAAUCUUUAAAUCCGCUCGUGAUGGGGAUUGACGGUUGCAAUUUUCUGUCAUGAACGAGGAAUACCUUGUAAGCGCGGGUCAUCAUCCCGCGCUGAAUACGUCCCUGCCCUUUGUACACACCGCCCGUCGCUACUACCGAUUGAACGGUUUAGUGAGGGCCUCGGAUUGGUCUCGGCCCGCUCUUUACCGGGCGGCGCCGUUGGUCGAGAAGACGCUCGAACCUGAUCGUUUAGAGGAAGUAAAAGUCGUAACA
rnacentral:rRNA from 1 species